GUCAGUGUGGCCGAGUUGGUUAAGGCGAUGCACUAGAAUUCUUAUUCUACUAGACUGAGCACAGUCUGGAUAUGCAUUGGGUUCGCCCGCACAUGUUCGAAUCAUGUCGCUGACG
rnacentral:tRNA from 1 species